rnacentral:rRNA from 1 species
UACGUAGGGGGCGAGCGUUGUCCGGAUUCAUUGGGCGUAAAGAGCUCGUAGGCGGCUUGGCAAGUCGGGUGUGAAACCUCCAGGCUCAACCUGGGGACGCCACCCGAUACUGCCAUGGCUAGAGUCCGGUAGGGGACCACGGAAUUCCUGGUGUAGCGGUGAAAUGCGCAGAUAUCAGGAGGAACACCGGUGGCGAAGGCGGUGGUCUGGGCCGGCACUGACGCUGAGGAGCGAAAGCGUGGGGAGCGAACAGG